rnacentral:rRNA from 1 species
GAGUUUGAUCAUGGCUCAGAAUCAACGCUGGCGGCGUGCCUAACACAUGCAAGUCGAGCGAGAAAGGGAUUUCGGUCCUGAGUAUAGUGGCGCACGGGUGAGUAACACGUGAAUAAUCUACCUCCGAGUGGGGAAUAACCAAGAGAAAUCUUGGCUAAUACCGCAUAACACUUACGAAUCAAAGCAGCAAUGCGCUUGGAGAGGAGUUCGCGGCAGAUUAGUUAGUUGGCGGGGUAGUGGCCCACCGAAGACGAUGAUCUGUAUCCGGCCUGAGAGGGCGCACGGACACACUGGAACUGAAACACGGUCCAGACUCCUACGGGAGGCAGCAGUGGGGAAUUUGCGCAAUGGGGGAAACCCUGACGCAGCAACGCCGCGUGGAGGAUGAAGUAUCUUGGUACGUAAACUCCUUUCGAUGGGGAAGAUAAUGACGGUACCCAUAGAAGAA